GCCCAGGUGGUGGAAUUGGUAUACACGCAGCACUUAAAAUGCUGUCCAUUAUUUGGAUGCGGGUUCGACUCCCGCCCUGGGCA
rnacentral:tRNA from 1 species